CCGCACGAAGCUGGAAUCGCUAGUAAUCGCGGAUCAGAAUGCCGCGGUGAAUACGUUCCCGGGUCUUGUACACACCGCCCGUCACACCAUGGGAGUCAGCAACGCCCGAAGUCAGUGACCCAACCUUUAAGGAGGGAGCUGCCGAAGGCGGGGCAGGUAACUGGGGUGAAGUCGUAACAAGGUAUC
rnacentral:rRNA from 1 species